rnacentral:rRNA from 1 species
AGUAUCCUGAGUAGGGCGGGACACGAGGAAUCCUGUCUGAAUCCGGGUCGACCACGAUCCAACCCUAAAUACUAAUACCAGAUCGAUAGUGCACAAGUACCGUGAGGGAAAGGUGAAAAGAACUGAGGUGAUCAGAGUGAAAUAGAACCUGAAACCAUUUGCUUACAAUCAUUCAGAGCCCUAUGUAGCAAUACAGGGUGAUGGACUGCCUUUUGCAUAAUGAGCCUGCGAGUUGUGGUGUCUGGCAAGGUUAAGCAAACGCGAAGCCGUAGCGAAAGCGAGUCUGAAUAGGGCGCUUAGUCAGAUGCUGCAGACCCGAAACGAAGUGAUCUAUCCAUGAGCAAGUUGAAGCUAGUGUAAGAACUAGUGGAGGACUGAACCCAUAGGCGUUGAAAAGCCCCGGGAUGACUUGUGGAUAGGGGUGAAAGGCCAAUCAAACUUCGUGAUAGCUGGUUCUCUCCGAAAUAUAUUUAGGUAUAGCGUUGUGUCGUAAUAUAAGGGGGUAGAGCACUGAAUGGGCUAGGGCAUACACCAAUGUACCAAACCCUAUCAAACUCCGAAUACCUUAUAUGUAAUCACAGCAGUCAGGCGGCGAGUGAUAAAAUCCGUCGUCAAGAGGGAAACAACCCAGACUACCAGCUAAGGUCCCUAAAUCUUACUUAAGUGGAAAACGAUGUGAAGUUACUUAAACAACCAGGAGGUUGGCUUAGAAGCAGCCAUCCUUUAAAGAAAGCGUAAUAGCUCACUGGUCUAGUGAUUUUGCGCGGAAAAUAUAACGGGGCUAAAGU